rnacentral:rRNA from 1 species
UACGAAGGGGGCUAGCGUUGCUCGGAAUUACUGGGCGUAAAGGGCGCGUAGGCGGACAUUUAAGUUAGAGGUGAAAGCCCAGGGCUCAACCCUGGAAUAGCCUUUAAUACUGGAUGUCUUGAGUUCGGGAGAGGUGAGUGGAAUGCCGAGUGUAGAGGUGAAAUUCGUAGAUAUUCGGCGGAACACCAGUGGCGAAGGCGACUCACUGGCCCGAUACCUGACGCUGAGGCGCGAAAGCGUGGGGAGCAAACAGGGAUUAAGAAACCCUAG